rnacentral:rRNA from 1 species
AUUGAACGCUGGCGGCAUGCCUUACACAUGCAAGUCGAACGGCAGCAUGGAGGAGCUUGCUCCUCUGAUGGCGAGUGGCGAACGGGUGAGUAAAGCAUCGGAACGUACCGUGUAGUGGGGGAUAACGUAGCGAAAGUUACGCUAAUACCGCAUACGCACUGAGGUGGAAAGCGGGGGAUCGUAAGACCUCGCGCUAUACGAGCGGCCGGUGUCAGAUUAGCUAGUUGGUAGGGUAAAGGCCUACCAAGGCGACGUUCUGUAGCGGGUCUGAGGAGCAGGCGCCGCCACACAUGGACUGGGACACGGCCCAGACUCGUACGGGAGGCAGCGGUGUGGAAUUUUCGACAAUGGGGGCAACCCUGAGCCAGCCAUGCCGCGUGGGUGAAGAAGGCCUUCGGGUUGUAAAGCUCUUUCGGCUGGGAAGAAAUCGCACAGGCCAAUGCCCUGUGUGGAUGACGGUACCAGCAUAAGAAGCACCGGCUAACUACGUGCCAGCAGCCGCCGUAA